UUAAGCGACUAAGCGUACACGGUGGAUGCCCUGGCAGUCAGAGGCGAUGAAGGACGUGCUAAUCUGCGAUAAGCGUCGGUAAGGUGAUAUGAACCGUUAUAACCGGCGAUUUCCGAAUGGGGAAACCCAGUGUGUUUCGACACACUAUCAUUAACUGAAUCCAUAGGUUAAUGAGGCGAACCGGGGGAACUGAAACAUCUAAGUACCCCGAGGAAAAGAAAUCAACCGAGAUUCCCCCAGUAGCGGCGAGCGAACGGGGAGCAGCCCAGAGCCUGAAUCAGUGUGUGUGUUAGUGGAAGCGUCUGGAAAGGCGCGCGAUACAGGGUGACAGCCCCGUACACAAAAAUGCACAUGCUGUGAGCUCGAUGAGUAGGGCGGGACACGUGGUAUCCUGUCUGAAUAUGGGGGGACCAUCCUCCAAGGCUAAAUACUCCUGACUGACCGAUAGUGAACCAGUACCGUGAGGGAAAGGCGAAAAGAACCCCGGCGAGGGGAGUGAAAAAGAACCUGAAACCGUGUACGUACAAGCAGUGGGAGCCUCUUAAUGGGGUGACUGCGUACCUUUUGUAUAAUGGGUCAGCGACUUAUAUUCUGUAGCAAGGUUAACCGAAUAGGGGAGCCGAAGGGAAACCGAGUCUUAACUGGGCGUUAAGUUGCAGGGUAUAGACCCGAAACCCGGUGAUCUAGCCAUGGGCAGGUUGAAGGUUGGGUAACACUAACUGGAGGACCGAACCGACUAAUGUUGAAAAAUUAGCGGAUGACUUGUGGCUGGGGGUGAAAGGCCAAUCAAACCGGGAGAUAGCUGGUUCUCCCCGAAAGCUAUUUAGGUAGCGCCUCGUGAAUUCAUCUCCGGGGGUAGAGCACUGUUUCGGCAAGGGGGUCAUCCCGACUUACCAACCCGAUGCAAACUGCGAAUACCGGAGAAUGUUAUCACGGGAGACACACGGCGGGUGCUAACGUCCGUCGUGAAGAGGGAAACAACCCAGACCGCCAGCUAAGGUCCCAAAGUCAUGGUUAAGUGGGAAACGAUGUGGGAAGGCCCAGACAGCCAGGAUGUUGGCUUAGAAGCAGCCAUCAUUUAAAGAAAGCGUAAUAGCUCACUGGUCGAGUCGGCCUGCGCGGAAGAUGUAACGGGGCUAAACCAUGCACCGAAGCUGCGGCAGCGACGCUUAUGCGUUGUUGGGUAGGGGAGCGUUCUGUAAGCCUGCGAAGGUGUGCUGUGAGGCAUGCUGGAGGUAUCAGAAGUGCGAAUGCUGACAUAAGUAACGAUAAAGCGGGUGAAAAGCCCGCUCGCCGGAAGACCAAGGGUUCCUGUCCAACGUUAAUCGGGGCAGGGUGAGUCGACCCCUAAGGCGAGGCCGAAAGGCGUAGUCGAUGGGAAACAGGUUAAUAUUCCUGUACUUGGUGUUACUGCGAAGGGGGGACGGAGAAGGCUAUGUUGGCCGGGCGACGGUUGUCCCGGUUUAAGCGUGUAGGCUGGUUUUCCAGGCAAAUCCGGAAAAUCAAGGCUGAGGCGUGAUGACGAGGCACUACGGUGCUGAAGCAACAAAUGCCCUGCUUCCAGGAAAAGCCUCUAAGCAUCAGGUAACAUCAAAUCGUACCCCAAACCGACACAGGUGGUCAGGUAGAGAAUACCAAGGCGCUUGAGAGAACUCGGGUGAAGGAACUAGGCAAAAUGGUGCCGUAACUUCGGGAGAAGGCACGCUGAUACGUAGGUGAAGUCCCUUGCGGAUGGAGCUGAAAUCAGUCGAAGAUACCAGCUGGCUGCAACUGUUUAUUAAAAACACAGCACUGUGCAAACACGAAAGUGGACGUAUACGGUGUGACGCCUGCCCGGUGCCGGAAGGUUAAUUGAUGGGGUUAGCGGUAACGCGAAGCUCUUGAUCGAAGCCCCGGUAAACGGCGGCCGUAACUAUAACGGUCCUAAGGUAGCGAAAUUCCUUGUCGGGUAAGUUCCGACCUGCACGAAUGGCGUAAUGAUGGCCAGGCUGUCUCCACCCGAGACUCAGUGAAAUUGAACUCGCUGUGAAGAUGCAGUGUACCCGCGGCAAGACGGAAAGACCCCGUGAACCUUUACUAUAGCUUGACACUGAACAUUGAGCCUUGAUGUGUAGGAUAGGUGGGAGGCUUUGAAGUGUGGACGCCAGUCUGCAUGGAGCCGACCUUGAAAUACCACCCUUUAAUGUUUGAUGUUCUAACGUUGGCCCCUAAUCGGGGUUGCGGACAGUGUCUGGUGGGUAGUUUGACUGGGGCGGUCUCCUCCUAAAGAGUAACGGAGGAGCACGAAGGUUGGCUAAUCCUGGUCGGACAUCAGGAGGUUAGUGCAAUGGCAUAAGCCAGCUUGACUGCGAGCGUGACGGCGCGAGCAGGUGCGAAAGCAGGUCAUAGUGAUCCGGUGGUUCUGAAUGGAAGGGCCAUCGCUCAACGGAUAAAAGGUACUCCGGGGAUAACAGGCUGAUACCGCCCAAGAGUUCAUAUCGACGGCGGUGUUUGGCACCUCGAUGUCGGCUCAUCACAUCCUGGGGCUGAAGUAGGUCCCAAGGGUAUGGCUGUUCGCCAUUUAAAGUGGUACGCGAGCUGGGUUUAGAACGUCGUGAGACAGUUCGGUCCCUAUCUGCCGUGGGCGCUGGAGAACUGAGGGGGGCUGCUCCUAGUACGAGAGGACCGGAGUGGACGCAUCACUGGUGUUCGGGUUGUCAUGCCAAUGGCACUGCCCGGUAGCUAAAUGCGGAAGAGAUAAGUGCUGAAAGCAUCUAAGCACGAAACUUGCCCCGAGAUGAGUUCUCCCUGACCCUUGAGAGUCCUGAAGGAACGUUGAAGACGACGACGUUGAUAGGCCGGGUGUGUAAGCGCAGCGAUGCGUUGAGCUAACCGGUACUAAUGAACCGUGAGGCUUAACCU
rnacentral:rRNA from 1 species